GAUGAAGAACGUAGCGAAAUGCGAUAAGUAAUGUGAAUUGCAGAAUCCAGUGAAUCAUCGAAUCUUUGAACGCACAUUGCGCCCGCCAGCAUUCUGGCGGGCAUGCCUGUCCGAGCGUCAUUACAACCCUCAGGCCCCCGGGCCUGGCGUUGGGGAUCGGCAGAAGCCCCCUGUGGGCACACGCCGUCCCUCAAAUACAGUGGCGGUCCCGCCGCAGCUUCCAUUGCGUAGUAGCUAACACCUCGCAACUGGAGAGCGGCGCGGCCAUGCCGUAAAACACCCAACUUCUGAAUGUUGACCUCGAAUCAGGUAGGAAUACCCGCUGAACUUAAGCAUAUCAAUAAGCGGAGGA
rnacentral:misc_RNA from 1 species